UAAAAUGUCACAUUAUGGUUUCCCAAUUA
rnacentral:piRNA from 1 species